rnacentral:rRNA from 1 species
GACGAACGCUGGCGGCGUGCUUAACACAUGCAAGUCGAGCGGAGCGGCGAACGGGUGAGUAACGCGUGAGUAACUGCCCCCCUCUCUGGGAUAACAGCUGGAAACGGCUGCUAAUACCGGAUAGUGGGGGAUGACUCGCGUCCUAUCAGCUUGUUGGUGGGGUAGUGGCCGACCCAGGCGACGACGGGUAGCCGGCCUGAGAGGGCGACCGGCCACAUUAUGCUGAGAUACGGCCCGAACGCCGACGGGAGGCGGCAAUAGGGAAUAUUGCACGAUGGGCGAAAGCCUGAUGCAGCGACGCCGCGUGAGGGAUGAAGGGUUUCGGGUUGUACCCUGCUAUCGAACAAGACUGGGUAGGUGGAGAAGAAGCGCCGGCUAACUACGUGCCAGCCGCCGCGGUAAUAC